UAUAUAUAAAUAUCUUAUAAGAUUAUUUCUCUCCCAGAUUAAUGAAACAAGAAGUAGAAAUACAUAAUUCUCACAUGUGUCAAGAUGUAAUGUAAAUUUAUUCACAAUCGUACAGAUCCUUGUUCUUGUAUAUGUAACAAAGUAUCUCUUACUAGUUUAAACAUUUCUUUUUAAGAGUAUAAAACAUGUUAGUAAUCUUUCACUCGAUCAGUAUCUGAGAUAGAAUUUAAAAAAUGCGAAUUUAACUUAGUCAUAAACUCAAAAAAUAUUGAUAUGCUUUUUAAAUUUAUAACGAAAGUCUUCGCGAUGGGAAGAUGAUGCGGCUCGUUUGUUCCGGACGAUCCGUUCGGAUGAACCGUCCAAUGAACGCCAUGAUCAAUCAGGAAGUCGAAAUUGGUGGAAGAUUAUCUCGGUUGGGGUGCUUACGUCUCGCCUCUGUCGGCACAAACUGUUAAUAGAGAAAACAAUUCAUCAUAAUUUGGCGGCCGCCGCGGGACGCCUUUAUUCAUGGUGGUCCACUGUAAGAAUGUAAAGUUUACACGAUGAUGUCGGUUACUCUUACAUGCGUUUCGGUUACCGGUAUUAAUGCCUCGACCGAUUUAUUGCAUACCUAUCUACGAAAAUGAAUAAUCAGCGAGCCAAUUCAUUUUUUAGAGCAUCGUAUUUUUGAUAUUUUUCAAUCCGUUUUUUGAAAAGUUACUUUUUACAAAUGUUAUUGAUCGAUUGUAAAGAAUAUAUAAUUUGCGUUUUUUAAACAAUUAAAAUUAUGAAAAAAAGAAAUCUUUAAUGAAAAAUUUCACAUAACACAUUAAUUGAGAAAUAUUACUCCAUCCAAUGAUAUUAAACAUGUAUCGUCACAAAAUACGGUGGCACGGUACGCGUAUAAUAUAAUAUAAUUUCCGCAAAAUAUAAUAAUAUAAUAAACUACAAACAGAAAAAGAAAGAGAGAUGUAGAGAGGAAGCACCAAGGAGGGUUCGCGGUGGCAGCAGCGAAAGCAGAUUAGCGUGAAUAAUGAAGACACGACCCCGUGAAAGCCUAAGCGGGCCUCCUUAAGUCUGUUCCUUCGAGUAGAAGCCGAAGCCGGAAAGAGAGGAUGCUGAGGAAAGGAGGUGGAGCGGGCAGAAAGGACGUAGAAGCAGUUAAUUACUCCUCCCAUCCACGGGAUAACGACUUCCCCUUAUUUGUCGAGAGGCGCAAACAGCCAACCCUCUGCGAAAUCCCUCGCCAAGACGCUUUCUCCAGCAUCAAGGACCAUCCGGUCUAUCCUGAAGUACCGUUUCGCAUCGAUCAGUACUUCGCGACGAAGAGCCUGAUGUCAUCUAGUUACGAAGAUGCAGUCCCUUAAUUCAAGAUAGAUCGAGUUCAGGACGCUGGUUAAACGAUCGAAAUGCAGGAUAUUUCAAGAGAAAGAUAAUUCAGCCAAACCUAGAAGAGAUCUGAGUCAUCUAAAUGUUAUGAAAAUGACGAUAAUAAAAAGAAUCGAAUGCCGAAUGGGAACUAGAUCCAUCUUUCAUCUGACUUCAUCUGUAUGAUAUAUUCUCGCUUCAACGGGAUCAUUUCAAGAUACAGGACGCAAAGUCAUCGUCAACCGUCGCUCGCUAAGUCGAGGAGCCCAUUGACAGCUACAGGACGAAGCGGUAACACAUGUUACGCCGGGACCGUGCACGGAACAUGCCAUGCAACGAAACAAAUGUUAGGCACACAUGCACCGCGGGCGAUGUCGGGCUAACGAUCGGGCUUCCUCCGCCGCAUCUGCACCUGUUACUCGGAUCCUAUGGUCGCGUCGAUGCACGCGAGCCGCAUAUGCCGAUGGCCUUCUUCAGAAACAAACCGCCUAAGGCUCCACUCCUCCCUCCAACUUCCAUAGAUCCUGGAGCCAGAAAGGUAGGGUAUCCUACAUUCUACGUCUUAACAAUUCGUAAAAAGAAAAAGAAAUAGACGCGGAUUAGAAGAAACCAAUUAAUUUCGCGAAAUUAAAUCUCCGAUCAUUGAAAUCAAUUAAAUCUAAAAACGCAUUCGGAUUUCAUCAAUAAGUCUAAAGGAAAUUAAUUGUCCCAUUAUAGAGAUGUGUAUAAACGCAAAAUAUAAUCGUUCGCCACGCUCGAGCCUCGCGAGGGCGCUCAGAUAAUUGCGUAAAUUAUAGAUGCGAUUAGUUUUAUUAGAGAGAGAAAGAGAGAGAGAGAGAGCUAGCUACAUCAUCGAUAUUAAUGACACGAUCUAUAAAAUUUUCCAUCGAUUAGGUUCGCCGUGACGGCGCAACCUUCUCCCUAUCUCCAGGAGAGUCCGUAAUCGUAAUUAACAUCUCUCUCUUUCUCUCGACCGUUCCGUUUUAUCGCGUUACUCCGCUUAGAGAAAAGUCGCCGACAAGUCGCUCACGCACGACGAGUCAGCGUAAUAACGGCCGCUUUGAACUGACCACGGGCGCGAGA